rnacentral:rRNA from 1 species
AACGAACGCUGGCGGCAGGCUUAACACAUGCAAGUCGAACGGUGAAAGGGAGCUUGCUCCCUGGAUCAGUGGCGAACGGGUGAGUAACACGUGGGCAACCUGCCCCAGACUUCGGGAUAACGCUUCGAAAGGAGUGCUAAUACCGGAUACGAACUCCUUGGGCAUCCUUGGGGUUGGAAAGUUUUUCGGUCUGGGAUGGGCCCGCGGCCUAUCAGCUUGUUGGUGGGGUAACGGCUCACCAAGGCGACGACGGGUAGCCGGCCUGAGAGGGCGACCGGCCACACGGGGACUGAGACACGGCCCAGACUCCUACGGGAGGCAGCAGUGGGGAAUAUUGCGCAAUGGGCGAAAGCCUGACGCAGCAACGCCGCGUGAGGGAUGACGGCCUUCGGGUUGUAAACCUCCUUCGGCAGGGAAGAAGCGAAAGUGACGGUACCUGCAGAAGAAGCACCGGCUAACUACGUGCCAGCAGCCGCCGUAAUAC